rnacentral:rRNA from 1 species
UUCCAGACUCCUACGGGAGGCAGCAGUGGGGAAUAUUGCACAAUGGGGGAAACCCUGAUGCAGCGACGCCGCGUGAGUGAAGAAGUAUUUCGGUAUGUAAAGCUCUAUCAGCAGGGAAGAUAAUGACGGUACCUGACUAAGAAGCCCCGGCUAACUACGUGCCAGCAGCCGCGGUAAUACGUAGGGGGCAAGCGUUAUCCGGAUUUAUUGGGUUUAAAGGGUGCGUAGGCGGACUGUUAAGUCAGCGGUAAAGGCCGGGGGCCCACCCCCGGCGAGCCGUUGAAACUGGCUGUCUUGAGAUGUCGAGAGGUAUGCGGAAUGCGCAGUGUAGCGGUGAAAUGCUUAGAUAUUGCGCAGAACUCCGAUUGCGAAGGCAGCAUACCGGCGGCGAUCUGACGCUGAGGCACGAAAGCGUGGGUAUCGAACAGGAUUAGAUACCCUGGUAC